ensembl:lncRNA
CUAGACUCCGGUACACAUCAGGCGGGAUAGGAGUCUAGACUCCGGUACACAUCAGGCGGGAUAGGAGUCUAGACUCCGGUACACAUCAGGCGGGAUAGGAGUCUAGACUCCGGUACACAUCAGGCGGGGGCGACACCGGUAGCUAGUGAUGAUACCGGAGCUGCGAGCCAUGCGUUGAAAUCGCUAAGCAGCUAACUUCGGAGCAGUGUGCGGAAGCAUGUGUCACUAUCAUCAAUGAGGUCAGAAGCUUAGUUUGAUCAUGUGCUUUUCCACACCAUGUGUUGCAAAAUGAGAGAUUCCACUGAUUUGGCCGUUGUCGCUGCUUUCAAACACUGACCCGGACACAGCACUUACAAAUAUAGUUAGGAUUUUGGACAAAAAGUAUCACCUGACUGGUAGUUUAGCAGGUAGAGUAUGGAACAUUCAGGGAUCUGAAGUCGAAACCAGUUGAAGGAACACAAUUUAGAGGGGAAAACAAAGUGAAACCACACUUUCUGCUCAGUUCAAAUAAAUAGUUUUAUUUAGUAUAAUAUAAUCUUCUGUAUUCAGCAUCCUAAAUAAUGCCACAGAUUCUGUUUGUUUUUUUUUAAAUGUAUUUUUAACAGCUGAUGUUACUAAUGUGCAUUGUGAACAGACAAUGAAGCUCCCAGUAAUUUACCCUUUUUCGGCACAAUUUGGUGAAAGCGUCGAAGCCGUUAUCCAGCUAACUAGGAUAACGUUACCUGCACAGAUGGUACCAGGGUUGCCAGAUCUAGCUCAAAUGUAUCGACCAAUGACCCAUGAAAACCUGCACAGAUGGAACCAGGGUUGCCAGAUCUAGCUCAAAUGUAUCGACCAAUGACAACCUGCCCAAAGGGCUGAACUAGACCCCAAUAAAUGUUGCAGCAAGAGAGAAGUUGCCACAUUUAUCCAAUAAAUCCUUUUCCUAUAAAGUUAUUAAGCAAAUUAAGGAAUAUCAUUUUAACUGACAGGCUAAGAAGCAAACUAUGGUUUUCCAUCAAAAUAAUAAUUAUUGCGAGUUUAAGAAUAUGUCACGAGAGAAGAUAAAUUGCCCUUAUUAAACUCUCCAGAUCAUUUUCAUCAGUGGAUGUCAAUUUAACUUGUUUAGAGUGCUAUGCUUAAGCAAUAAGGCACGAUGAGGUGUGGUAUAUGGACUGUACUUAGGACACAGCCUUUAGCCGUGGUAUAUUGACCAUAAACCACAAACCCCUGACAUGCCUUAUUGCUAUUAUAAACUGGUGACCAACAUAAUUAGCACAGUAAAACGUUUUUGUCAUUCCCGUCGUACACGUCUGAUAUACCACGGCUUUCAACCAAUCACUAUUCAGGGCUCAAACCACCCAGUUAAUAAUUGUAAAUAUAACCUGGGUGGUUUGAGCCCUGAAUGCUGAUUGGCUGACAGCCGUGGUAUAUCAGACUGUAUACCAUGGGUAUGACAAAACAUUUAUUUUUACUGCUCUAAUUACGUUGGUAACCAGUUUAUAAUAACCCGUUUAUAAUAGCCUCUGGGUUUUGUGAUAUAUGGCCAAUAUACCACAGCUACGGGCUGUGUCCAGGCACUCCGCGUUGCGGAGACAUUAGAAUGCAGUGUAUUUUAAACCACCUCUGAGCAAAUGUAUCUAAAGAGCUCUCGUGUGCCUAAAGUCAUUUUCCAAUGCUUUGUCGCCGUUAUAUCACUUCUAGAGUGUUUAACGAUUUAUGGAAAAAGGGUGCCUCCAUAAUGACCAGUCUAAAUAGACUUGGUAAAAAGUUGUCACGACGUGCUUGUGUGCUGCUCUGUCUCCGUGUCUCUGCUGCCGGACUCUCUCAACCAGCGCUCUCCACGUACACACACCCCUCCGGUCCUCUGGUCCUCUCACUCACUCAACUCACUCAACUCACACUCACUCAACUCACACUCACUCAACUCACUCAACUCUCACUCACUCAACUCACUCACUCAACUCACUCACUCACUCCUCACUGCCUGAUAGUCUGCGGCAGCAGGUCACAGUGAAAUAUAUUUGUUUAAGAGAUAUGCCAUGGCGGCCGCAAUGCGAUUUAGAAGUAUCCCAAAACCCUCCGCCCGCGACCAAUACAUUUUCACCCCUGACAUUGUUUUCAAAGUAGCCCAAUUUGCAGGAAAAUGGCAAACAUGGCAACCAUGGAUGGAACAAUAAAUCAGAUAGUUGACAGGAUGUAUAGAUAUGAAGCAUCCGGUUGGUGUUUCCAUUCACUGAGAGGAAGCCCAGUGGCUGGAAGUGGCUCUUGGCUCUGCACACCUCCUUGCUUGUUCUGAGCACUAUGAUUCAUUUGGAAACGACAGGCUCUGAUCUGUCUUGGGUUAGUUAUCACAAUAUUUGAUACCGGCAGACAGUGCCCUUGGCCCCUGAAAAACUCUGACUCUUUUGACCCACAUUGGAAUCGCAUUGACAAUCAGGGGAAAUCCAGAAUAUCAAGUGUCACAAAAGAAUUAAGAUGGCAUGCUUGAGGGG